AAGUCUCAGCGAUAACAGAUAAGUUUCAAAAUGUCUGGAGAAGAACAAAGGGUACCAAUGAGGAUUGGAGAUUUUUCUGUUCUAGAUUCAGAAUUCAACAGUAUUAAGGAUAGAUUUGACAACGAGAUGAAAAAAAUGGAAGACGAAAUGAACAGGAAAACACAAUUAUUACAAAAUAUGCUACAGUUGCCU
rnacentral:lncRNA from 1 species